GAUGAACGCUGGCGGCGUGCCAAAUACAUGCAAGUCGAACGCGCAGCGAAAGGUGCUCGCACCUUUCAAGUGAGUGGCGAACGGGUGAGUAACACGUGGACAACCUGCCUCAAGGCUGGGGAUAGCAUUUGGAAACAGAUGCUAAUACCGAAUAAAACUCAGUGUCGCAUGACACAAAGUUAAAAGGCGCUUUGGCGUCACCUAGCGAUGGAUACGCGGUGCAUUAGUUAGUUGGUGGGGUAAAGGCCUACCAAGACAAUGAUGCAUAGCCGAGUUGAGAGACUGAUCGGCCACAUUGGGACUGAGACACGGCCCAAACUCCUACGGGAGGCUGCAGUAGGGAAUCUUCCACAAUGGGCGAAAGCCUGAUGGAGCAACGCCGCGUGUGUGAUGAAGGCUUUCGGGUCGUAAAGCACUGUUGUAUGGGAAGAACAGCUAGAAUAGGGAAUGAUUUUAGUUUGACGGUACCAUACCAGAAAGGGACGGCUAAAUACGUGCCAGCAGCCGCCGUAA
rnacentral:rRNA from 1 species